AUGAACGCUGGCGGCGUGCCUAAUACCUGCAAGUCGAGCGAACGGACGAGAAGCUUGCUUCUCUGAUGUUAGCGGCGGACGGGUGAGUAACACGUGGAUAACCUACCUAUAAGACUGGGAUAACUUCGGGAAACCGGAGCUAAUACCGGAUAAUAUUUUGAACCGCAUGGUUCAAAAGUGAAAGACGGUCUUGCUGUCACUUAUAGAUGGAUCCGCGCUGCAUUAGCUAGUUGGUAAGGUAACGGCUUACCAAGGCAACGAUGCAUAGCCGACCUGAGAGGGUGAUCGGCCACACUGGAACUGAGACACGGUCCAGACUCCUACGGGAGGCAGCAGUAGGGAAUCUUCCGCAAUGGGCGAAAGCCUGACGGAGCAACGCCGCGUGAGUGAUGAAGGUCUUCGGAUCGUAAAACUCUGUUAUUAGGGAAGAACAUAUGUGUAAGUAACUGUGCACAUCUUGACGGUACCUAAUCAGGAAGCCACGGCUAACUACGUG
rnacentral:rRNA from 1 species